rnacentral:rRNA from 1 species
GAUGAACGCUAGCUACAGGCUUAACACAUGCAAGUCGAGCGAAGCACUUUAACGGAAUUCUUCGGAAGGAAGGUAAAGUGACUGAGCGGGCGUACGGGUCGAAGGUAACGCGUAGGUAAACCGUGCCUUAUACAGGGGAUAACAGUUAGAAAUGGCUGCUAAUACCGCAUAAGCGCACAGGGCCGCAUGGUCUGGUGUGGAAAACUCCGGUGGUAUAAGAUGGACCCGCGUCUGAUUAGCUGGUUGGUGGGGUAACGGCCCACCAAGGCGACGAUCAGUAGCCGGCCUGAGAGGGUGAACGGCCACAUUGGGACUGAGACACGGCCCAG